CCCAGAUGCCCUUCAUCACAGGAUGACAGGACGGCCAGCUGCUGGGAGUGGCUGCUGACUGUGAAACAUACCCUCCCCCUUACAGGAAAAAGACCUCAGAAACACCCAUUGUCCUAUAAGCCUCUCAGGCACGGCCAGCUGCCCCAGAGCUCACCGGAGAAGUCGCCUGGGCCUGGAGUUCUCUCUGCGGGAAGGCUCCCGGCUGCAAAGUCAAGUUCCCGAGUGGAUCCAGAGCCAUUCCCAUCGUGUUUAUGAGAACAUUCAAAAUCAUCUCACAGCUCAAUCAAGUUUUGUGCCUCAUUUGAUAAGUCCUACUGCUGUGUCUUAGCGUUCACUGAUCUCUUCUUCUUCCUUCUCCGUCUUCAGAUUGGUGCAGCUCCAGCCGAUAUGGCCAUCUGGGGAGUGAACCAGUGGAUGGAAGACCUCUCUCUCUCUCUGUCUCUGCCUCUCAGUACACAGCCUACAUCCGCAGGGACAGCAGGGGGCCUACACCAUGAUGGCGUCCAUCUUCCCAGCAAAGAUGAAGGGGUGGCUUUACAACAACAUGCAGCUUCCAGGGAAACAGCUUCUACACAGCUGCCUCCAGUUCAACCAAUAAACUGUAGGACCUACUCCUGAUUGGAGGAGAGCAGCAUACUCGGCAUGUGGGUAGCAGAGUUGGGAUUGGUGGAAGAGGACUAUAAAGGAGGAGAGAGACAACAUGCACCAGGAACAUCUAAGGGGAACAUCUAUCUGAAGGAACACCUGUGCAGCCCCCGAGAGAGCCGGCCGGCGGUGUGCCGCUCCCCUGCGGAAGUGGGGAAAGUGGCCAGGGGGAACCGCCCUUCCACGGAGGUGGAAGGGUCGAUAGCCAACCCGGGAAGAACCAGCAGCAAACCUGGGGAGGGCCGAGCAGACAAAAGAACAGCGCAGGGUCCUGUGUCGUUCCUCCACGAAGAGGGGGAGUGACAUAAUGGUGCUGUGACUCGGAUAUGAAGCCUAGGCAGGGUUUAGUGUCGUUCCUCCACGAAGAGGGGGAGCAACAUAAUGGUGCCGUGACUCGGAUAGGAAACUUAGGAGGGAAGAAACGGGAAGAAGCAGGAAAAUACCGGAGAGAGAGAGACUAGAAGAGCCUAGGGGAAAGCCAGAUGGAAAAGGUGCCGGAAGAAGCUAUUGAAAGCCUAGGCAUAGACUCGGAUACGGACUGUGGGAAAGAAGUUAGGAUUUAAAGUGAAAGCAAGAAGAAACUUAGACUCAGAUACGGACUGCAGGUUGAAAGUGAAAGUGAAACCUAUAAGAAACUUAGACUUGGAUACGGACUGUGGGGAGAGGCCAGGAGAAAUGAGGGAGGAAUAUUGUUGGAAGAAAACUUAGGGAAACAUACCGGGUAGAGAAAAAUGUUAGGGAGGAUGAAGCCACGAGUGCAGGCUGAAGCGGAGACGUAAGCUAUCUUGGUAUUCUUUAAGUCAGCCCGGGGAGCAAAAGGCGAAAAGUUAAACCAGAGGCGGAAACGUGGGCCAGGUUGGAAUCCGUUAGAUUAGCCCGGGGAGCAAAAGAUGGGAAGCCAAACCAUAAGGCGGAGACGCGUAAGCCAGGUUGGAAUUCGCCAGGUUAGUCCGGGGAACUUAGAUUGAAUACCAGUGGCGGAAACGUGAGCUGGGGCUGUGUGACUCGUGGAAGCCGCUGCGUGCAGAGAGAGCACGGGGCGUGAAUAGAUAGGGAAUGCGGGGCUGGCGCGAGGCCGUGGUGUGGACGCGAAGGGCGUGGAGACCACGGAGUGUGCGCGCGAAGCCGAGCCGCGCAGAGCCGGGAGCCCGCCGAAGGGAGGGCGCCGGGAAGCCGCGCAGAUGAGAGAAGCGCGGGCUGAAGCGGCUCAGAGCCGGGAAGCCGCCGAGAAGCAGCCUCGGGGCGGGCGCCGGGAUGCCGCAGGGAUAAGAGAAACAGAAGUUUAGAAGUAAAAUGAGAGAAAUAGGAAUGCUGGUAGAUAGAAGUAAAACAGGAGAGAUAGGAAUGCCUGGAGAUAGAGAAAUAGAGAAAAAUAAGGCCUCCCCUCAACAUGGCAAUGAGAGAGCUUGGAUUCGGUCUGCCUGAUUAGGGAGGUGGUGAGCACCUGCGGGCGGCUAGCAGCUUAUGCGCUGCAGGUCACCGAAGACAGGCACGAAUUAACAUCAGUAAGUCUCCCCACAAUACCGCAAUGAGAAGGCUUGGAUUCGGUCUGCCUGAUUAGUAAGGCGGUAAGCACCAGCAGGCAGCUCGACCAGAGUAUGAGCUGCAGGUCACCGAAGAUAGGCACGAAUCAACACCAAUAAGUCUCCCCACAAUAUGGCAAUGAGAGGGCUUGAAUUCGGUUUGCCUGAUAGGGCUUGUAAGUACCUGCAGGCAGUUCUAGCAGAGCAGAGCAUGCGCUGCAGGGCACUGAACACAGGCACGCAUCAGCGCCUAAAAACCUCCUCACAACAUGGCGAAGAGAGGACCCGGAUUUGGUUUGCCUGAUUGAUAGGACUUAUAAGCACCUGUGGGCAACUCUAGCAAGCAGAGCAGAGUGUGUGCCGCGGGGCACCAAAGACAGGCGCGUAUCAACGCCAAAAAUAAAAAGAAAGGGGGAUCUGUGGGGAGCAACUCGGACUAGACUAAGUUACUGGAAUUAAGACUUAUUCUAUGCAUCUGCUUUCCCACAAUAUGGCGCUGAGAAGGGAAACAGCUUCUACACAGCUGCCUCCAGUUCAACCAAUAAACUGUAGGACCUACUCCUGAUUGGAGGAGAGCAGCGUACUCGGCGUGUGGGUAGCAGAGUUGGGAUUGGUGGAAGAGGACUAUAAAGGAGGAGAGAGACAACAUGCACCAGGAACAUCUAAGGGGAACAUCUAUCUGAAGGAACACCUGUGCAGCCCCCGAGAGAGCCGGCCGGCGGUGUGCCGCUCCCCUGCGGAAGUGGGGAAAGUGGCCAGGGGGAACCACCCUUCCACGGAGGUGGAAGGGUCGAUAGCCAACCCGGGAAGAACCAGCAGCAAACCCGGGAAGGGCCGAGCAGACAAAAGAACAGCGCAGAGUCCUGUGUCGUUCCUCCACGAAGAGGGGGAGCAACAGGUUCAUUGUGGCCAAGGAUAACAAAUAAAGGUUUUGUUACUAAGGAAAGGAAAUGGAUGUUGGGUACUCUUAGUAGUCUCUGCUUGAGUGUGGCAUUGCUGGGGGAGAGCAUUAACUUGGCAUCAUGAAUGAGGUUGGGCAAAAAGGGCAUUUGCACCAGCCCAGGGGAGAGGUCAUCUCUCAGGGGAUUGCCUGGUUGAACCAGCUGUGGACAGCAGUUCACCAUCAGUCAAAAUCCCUUACCAGGAGAACUGGCAGUCUGACCAUGGGAAGAUACUAUCCAAUUUGCCAGGAUCUUAGAAUAGGAACUGACAAGACUCUGCUUGAUAUUAUCAUGGUAGAUGCAAGUCUACACAACUGUCCAAGGCCACAGCUUGCACAACACCAAGAGUGCAGCUAAUGUAAACCAUGGGCCUGGAGUGACGAUGGUGCGUCUCUGUGGAUCCAGCCGUUGGAACACAUGCACUGUGCUGUAGGGCAUGGCGGUCAUGGGGAAGACUUUGCAGGAGAAGGGGCAAAGGGUAUAUAGGCAAGCUCUCUACCUUCCUCUCAGUUUUGCCAUGAACCCAAAACUUCUCCAGAAUGCAUUAAAUCAUUUUAAAGAAUUUUCUGUUCCUAGAAGUUCCCAAGUCACAGCUCUGUAUUAGCUAGGUCUUGAGUACAGGAACAAUGUGGUGAUGCCACCCUCUCAGAUGGAGUAGGACUGUCCAGUGGUUCCUGCUGAAGGUUGGCGCGUUAAGGGUCUGUACUCAUGGUGGGGAGCAUAAGACUCCAGUGGUCCCGCCCUGACCCCCUUCUGUAAGCCAGGCGCUUCUCUCCCAUGGCCCCUCCACUGUGAUGAGGUCACUGGCCUUGGGCAAGGUGGGACACAGGCAAAGCCUCUCCAACUUCCCGUUUCAUCACCGUCCCUUGUUCCCUGCGGGAGCUCCCUCCCUGGCAGCCCAGCAAUGCUGUGUCGUGGAAAACCAGUGCUUCUCAGCCUCUUGAUCCUUCGCAGUCUCACCUCUUCCCAGUCAGGAGCUCCGGUCUAGACUCACCCACCACGUUGCUGGGAUGGCCCCCAGGAGGUUACCAGUGAAAUAUGAACACGUAUCUGGCAUUUGAGGAGCCAGAGAAGCCUGAAUUUGGGAGUUUAAUGCAGUACACUACAGGAUGGUGGUAAUAACUCAACACGCAGAAUUCAGCUGUCAGAGGCUUGGCCAGUUUCUGCCGCAGUCACUGGGAAUUUCCCACCCCGGCCCUCGCGCUCUCCCCACUUCAGGCUGCACCCCCAGACUUCCCAGGCACAGCGCCGGCCUGGCUCUGCCUCAGGACCUUCUCCCGGUGCUCAUCUGGCACCAAGGAGCUGGUGCACCCAGGAGCAGCCUUCAGCCAAUGACUUCCAGGAACGUGCAAACACUGCGGGAGCUCUGAGUCUUGCUGCGGGACCCCAGCUCCCAUCUCCUCAGCAGGAGUAAGCGCCAGGCACCCAGAGGUGGCUGUGGGGACAGCACAGUCUCAGCUCCCCACUGCUGUCCCUUCACCCCCACCUCUCAUAGGAAUUGUUCACCUAGCUAUCCUCGUCCUAGCGUCUGCUCGGGGGGUGAUCCUGAACUAAGCCAAGACCCCAAUCAAGAACACUAUGAGAAACCACCGAAAUA